rnacentral:misc_RNA from 1 species
GGAAGGAUCAUUACUGGGUUUUUGGGCUCUGCCCGCCACCCGCCCUCUGUUAUUUAGUGACUAUUGUUUCGGCCAGGGGCAACCCGGCCGGCAGUAACUCUGAGGAAAUUUGAAGUCUGAUACUCUGAAAACAAAAAAAAACUUUCAACAACGGAUCUCUUGGUUCUGGCAACGAUGAAGAACGCAGCGAAAUGCGAUAAGUAAUGUGAAUUGCAGAAUUCAGUGAAUCAUCGAAUCUUUGAACGCACAUUGCGCCCACUGGUAUUCCGGUGGGCACGCCUGUCCGAGCGCCAUUACACCCCCCAAGCUUUGCUUGAUGUUGGGCGAUGCCUAGGCACGCCCCAAACUCCUGGGCGCCUGCCGCCGGCCGCUAGCGUAGCAAACUACUCGCUCGCGUGUCCGUCGGGAGGCCGCCCCCGAACUUUCUUUCUGAGAUUUGGCCUCGGAUCAGGCGGGGAUACCCGCUGAACUUAAGCAUAUCAAUAAGCGGAGGAAAAGAAACCAACAGGGAUUGCCCCAGUAACGGCGAGUGAAGCGGCAACAGCUCAAAUUUGAAAUCUGGUACCUUCGGUGCCCGAGUUGUAAUUUGUAGAGGGUGUCUCGGGGGGAGUGCCGGUCCAAGUCCCUUGGAACAGGAUGUCAUAGAGGGUGAGAACCCCGUAUCCGGCUGGUCACUCCGUCCAUGUGAGACCCCUUCGACGAGUCGAGUUGUUUGGGAAUGCAGCUCUAAAUGGGUGGUAAAUUCCAUCUAAAGCUAAAUACCGGCCAGAGACCGAUAGCGCACAAGUAGAGUGAUCGAAAGAUGAAAAGCACUUUGAAAAGAGAGUCAAACAGUACGUGAAAUUGUUGAAAGGGAAGCGUAUGCGGCCAGACUUGCCCGCGGUUGCUCAGCCUGUCUUCUGGCAGGUGUACUCUUCCGCGGUCAGGCCAGCAUCGGUUUGGGCGGUCGGACAAAGGCGCUGGGAAUGUGGCCCCUCGGGGUGUUAUAGCCCAGCGUGCAAUGCGACCCGCCCGGACCGAGGCCCGCGUUCUGCUAGGAUGCUGGCGUAAUGGCCGUAUACGGCCCGUCUUGAAACACGGACCAAGGAGUCUAACAUCUAUGCGAGUGUUUGGGUGUCAAGCCCGGGCGCGCAAUGAAAGUGAACGGAGGUGGGAGCCCUCUCGGGGGCGCACCAUCGACCGAUCCUGAUGUCUUCGGAUGGAUUUGAGUAAGAGCAUAGCUGAUAGGACCCGAAAGAUGGUGAACUAUGCGUGAAUAGGGUGAAGCCAGAGGAAACUCUGGUGGAGGCUCGCAGCGGUUCUGACGUGCAAAUCGAUCGUCAAAUUUGCGUAUAGGGGCGAAAGACUAAUCGAACCAUUUAGUAGCUGGUUCCUGC